rnacentral:lncRNA from 1 species
CCUGGCUCCUGCCCUUUAUGACAGGGAAAUAUAAUCUAGUCCUGGGGCUGGAUGGCAGAGUGCUAGCCUGAGGCUUGGAUUGUGCCAGUGGAGCUCAGGUCCCAGAAAGCCCUGGUUUCCCUGUGGGGCAUGGAAGAGCCCAAGUGAACUGCUGCUCCAAAGAGGGCAAGUCUGCGCUGGCGAAGCUGGAGGCUGCUGUGCCUGGUGCAGAAAAGAGGGAACAGAUGUGGAAAUUUAAAACAAGAAGUAGCUUUGCUGGAAUUUGCUUUCAACGUAGCAAAAGGAGCUCUCAGCCAGACUAAGUCCUUGGGAGACAGUGUGCCUGCACAGUAAGAAGCAGUCCCCGCUCUGAAGUGCUGUGAGUGAAACAGACACAGAUGAGAGCACCAAGAGGUGAAAUGAGUUUUUCAAGGUUAUAUAGGAGGUCAGUGGCCAAGCCAAAAUUAGAACUCGGUUCUUGUCCAGUGAUCGUGGUCAUCUAUUCCUU